GACGAACGCUGGCGGCGUGCCUAAUACAUGCAAGUAGAACGCUGAAGCUUGGUGCUUGCACCGAGCGGAUGAGUUGCGAACGGGUGAGUAACGCGUAGGUAACCUGCCUGGUAGCGGGGGAUAACUAUUGGAAACGAUAGCUAAUACCGCAUAAGAGUAGAUGUUGCAUGACAUUUGCUUAAAAGGUGCAAUUGCAUCACUACCAGAUGGACCUGCGUUGUAUUAGCUAGUUGGUGAGGUAACGGCUCACCAAGGCAACGAUACAUAGCCGACCUGAGAGGGUGAUCGGCCAAACUGGGACUGAGACACGGCCCAGACGCCUACGGGAGGCAGCAGUAGGGAAUCUUCGGCAAUGGACGGAAGUCUGACCGAGCAACGCCGCGUGAGUGAAGAAGGUUUUCGGAUCGUAAAGCUCUGUUGUAAGAGAAGAACGAGUGUGAGAGUGGAAAGUUCACACUGUGGCGGUAUCUUACCAGAAAGGGACGGCUAACUACGUG
rnacentral:rRNA from 1 species